CAUGACGCAGGGCUUGAUGUCCUGGUAGGAGACCUGUUGGUGGUGGUAGUACGAGCUGCUGCUCGGUGAGUGCAUCGCUGAGGACGUCAUGGCGUUGAACGAGAAGACAAACUCCUUUCGGUCACACAUACUUGGAGACUGGGAAUGGUACCGAGUCCUGCAGCAGCCUGAAGCCUUGUACACAGCGUCCGAAAUGGGAUGAGGAGCAGAACAGGAGCCGCUUUCCACUUCAGUUGGUGUGUUGUCGUGCGUCCGAGGAGCUCACUUUUUACUUAUCUGUUGCCAUCAGCGCAUUGGAAGCUGGAUGUCUUGGCCAUCCUAAUGUUGGGACCCGCCCAGUUCCCUCCUACUCCAGUGGUGGGCUGUAAGCAUGCACAUCUGUGGACGCAGGAGGAGUGAGGUGGAAGCUCUGCCGAGCUGUGAGCACAGAAAGUCGGACGGGGACUUGAGAUCGACUCCUGCAGGCAGUUUACCAUCGUAUGAUCCAGGAUUUAAGGAAGACUCAGUCCCACACAGUGAGUGGGAGACUGUUUGCUGCCCCACCCUGCAGCCCUGCACACCUCCCAGGGCCCGUCCAACAUGCUCUGUCUGAUGCACGGAGAGACAUCAAUAAUAAGAGCUGAAGCAGAAACCACAGUGGAGAACACGAAAGAGAGAGGGAGGGCAGAUGCAUGGCCACAACUGGCUCUGCUGCAGUCUGGAGUGGGCAGGCGUGCGGCUUUGGCCACAGGAAGCUGUGAAUUCUUUGGAGAAUGGAAGAUGUCUUAUGGGGAGACAUACUGGCCUCCACCCACCCACUCACCACCCCAAAAUGACACCUGACCCCUUCAUGUGUUUAUAUCAGACCAUGGAAGUGAGAAAUAGUGAUGAGUCACUCUGCCUGUGUGUUUACACUCCGGAGUCACGCAAGGAAGGAAAUCAGCCACGGUCUGCUAAAAGUGGCGAGGUGAGAGAGAAUGGCUGCAGUCCCCCAGCGCUGCAGUGAUUUACCUCCUCGGAGCCAGAAUUUAUUUCACGCCAUCUCUGCUGCGAAGACUUCAGACCAACAGAAAACGGCAACAUUUGCAGCGCAGUGGACUGAAACCCUUAUCGUGGUUUAAUCAUUAAGUAUUCAUUAAGAAUGAUUAUUUCAUUCUUAUUAGAUGCAGAGUGUUGAUCACAUCCAGUUGCUUUCUAAUCAAGGCAGACUGACUGGCAUAGAAUAAAUACCUGUAUCUCCACAAGUCACACGGAAAUAUUGUUUUCAGCUCAAUGAUAUAUUUCACUGAGUAAUUUGUCUUGAAACCUUUUUUCUCAGAUACAAGAAGAAUUGAGUAAUUGUUCAAUCUUAAUAAAAAAAUAAAAAUCA